GGUUUCGUGGUGUAGUGGUUAUCACAUCUGUCUUACACACAGAAGGUCGGCGGUUCGAUCCCGCCCGAAACCA
rnacentral:tRNA from 1 species